GGUGGAAAAGGCCCUGAGAAAUCAAGAAAGCAAAAGAGUAUGUAUAGUGAAGCCUGCCUGGAUCUUGGCUUGAGUGUGCAUGUUCUAGAAGGGCAAUGAGAGAUGUGGAAGACCUGAGAGGAUGGCAACGGAGGGAAAAAGUGGUGACGGAGGCAAAAAGUGGUGCCCAACCACCCCAUGGAGCCCUUGUGCAUUUGACCUUUAGAUCUCAGGAUCGUUGAUCGCAGGAGCCUCCUGGUUAAGAAAGGGAAAGACAAGAUGUUAUGAUCAGGGAUUUCGGGAGUCUCCUAAUUGAUAAAAGAUGUUAUGAUCAGGG